GACGAACGCUGGCGGCGUGCCUAACACAUGCAAGUCGAACGGAAAGGCCCUGCUUUUGUGGUGUGCUCGUGUGGCGAACGGGUGUGUAACACGGGUGUAACCUGCCCUUGUCUGUGGGAUAACUUCAGGAUACUGGGGCUAAUACCGGGUAUGAGCUCCUGCUACAGGGUGGGGGUUGGAAAGUUUCGGCGUUUGGGGAUGGACUGGCGGGUUAUCAGCUUGUUGGGUGGGUGGUGGCUUACCACGGCUUUGAGGGGUAGCCGGCCUGAGAAGGUGACCGGGCCCCAUGGUACUGCGGUAGGACCCAGACGCGAACGUGCGGCAGGGGUGGAAAAUCUUACGGAAUGGGCGGAAGCCUGAUACAGAGACGCCGCGUGCGGAAAGACGGUCUUCGGGUUAUAAACCGGUUGCGACUGUAACGAUGCGUGAGUGACGGUAAUGGGUAAAGAAGCACCGGCUAACUACGUG
rnacentral:rRNA from 1 species